UUUACAGCCUUAGGUGGAAUUAAGAAACCUUAGGAGAUACAGAUGCCAACUUGUUUGAAGUUUAUUCAUUAUUCAAGGGCCAUCCGUACGUGACUAACAACCAAAGUAUGAAAAGCACUAUACAAUUGAGGAGGCUUCAAGUAAACAAAAGAUCAUAGUGCUUAUCACCACAAAAUAAAAAAUAAGAAAAGACGAAAGAAAGAAAAAGAUCAGAGUAUAACUGUUAAAAGAGCUAACCGAUUGUAAUUCUAAAUCUGUCAUAACUUAUCCAAAAAAAAUAGUAAAUCCAUCAUCAAAAUUUUGGGAUUGCAGUUGAGUCAGGGAUAUCACCCAUCUAUCAGAGUAUUACUUUUAGAACUAUGUCCACUUCCAGCCCAAUAUUUAUCACUGAUCUCAAUAUUUUAGGAUCAGAAUUUGCUUUAUGACAAGUGUGAAGUCUCCCAUUUAUAAACUCUUAGAUUUAUUUUAAAGGGAUGCUCCAAAGUGUUCAUCAUGAUAAGUGUGAAGUGUCCCAUUUAUAAACUUUUAGAUUUAUUUUAAAGGGAUGCUCCAAAGUGUUCAUAGUUUCUUUUGAAAUAGUAAUGGUCAAAAUGUUCAUAAAUUUCACCGUCGAGAAUUAUUCCGGCUGUUAGUUAUCGACAUGCUACAUAUAUAUCUGAACCUAGAAGGGAUGCCAAUUUUCUGGUUUAAUCGCUCUGCAGUUUCUGUUUAACACUGGUAAGUUAGGGAGAUUCCCUAUUGGGAGCUGCUCUGGUUCUUGUGGAUUUCUUUGGUUCCUGAGGGAAGUCGUGGUACACAAUGCACAGACCAACUGUUCUGCUAGUCAGCUUGGAAAAUAUUGAAGUAAUUGCAGUAAAAGCAUUCUGUUUCUUCUCGAAGUGCAUUAUUUGAAGUGGGUUGGGUCAAAGCAGUGCGGAGGUGUGCGAGUAGAGUAAAGUACGUUAUAAACAGAAUCAAGAGAAUCGGUUAAAGAGAAAGUUAAAAAGCAAGUAGCAAUGGUAGGGAGAUGUAUUUGAAGACAAGUAGUUGAUUUGACCUUUUUACACUGAUAAAAGUAUGAGAAAGUUAAAAAGCAAGUAGAAACGGUAGGGAGAUGUAUUUGAAAACAAGUAGUUGAUUUGAGCUUUUUGCACUGAUAAAAGUAUGUUUAAAAUAGAGGAAACCUUGAGUUUGAUUUACACAAGGAUAGAUAUAUCCUGUCAUUUAACUGUUUCUGGGUUACUUUUUCUUUAUUGCUGAAAUAUAGUCCUCUUGAAGCAUUUGCAUAGUGAUAACUUAGUUGGCUCUUUGCUUUAUAACAUUCACAGUUUGAUUGAGUUUAAUAUUGUAUUGCGUCUAAUACAUAAUUAACUUUAGUUACCUUUUUUCUUCUUUUUUGGUGUAUUAAUACCAGACCGUGCAAAAUCAACAACGCGCAGAAAGGGAUGCUGCACUUGCUCGCUU
rnacentral:lncRNA from 1 species